ACAUGCAAGUCGAGCGAACGGACGAGAAGCUUGCUUCUCUGAUGUUAGCGGCGGACGGGUGAGUAACACGUGGAUAACCUACCUAUAAGACUGGGAUAACUUCGGGAAACCGGAGCUAAUACCGGAUAAUAUUUUGAACCGCAUGGUUCAAAAGUGAAAGACGGUCUUGCUGUCACUUAUAGAUGGAUCCGCGCUGCAUUAGCUAGUUGGUAAGGUAACGGCUUACCAAGGCAACGAUGCAUAGCCGACCUGAGAGGGUGAUCGGCCACACUGGAACUGAGACACGGUCCAGACUCCUACGGGAGGCAGCAGUAGGGAAUCUUCCGCAAUGGGCGAAAGCCUGACGGAGCAACGCCGCGUGAGUGAUGAAGGUCUUCGGAUCGUAAAACUCUGUUAUUAGGGAAGAACAUAUGUGUAAGUAACUGUGCACAUCUUGACGGUACCUAAUCAGAAAGCCACGGCUAACUACGUGCCAGCAGCCGCGGUAAUACGUAGGUGGCAAGCGUUAUCCGGAAUUAUUGGGCGUAAAGCGCGCGUAGGCGGUUUUUUAAGUCUGAUGUGAAAGCCCACGGCUCAACCGUGGAGGGUCAUUGGAAACUGGAAAACUUGAGUGCAGAAGAGGAAAGUGGAAUUCCAUGUGUAGCGGUGAAAUGCGCAGAGAUAUGGAGGAACACCAGUGGCGAAGGCGACUUUCUGGUCUGUAACUGACGCUGAUGUGCGAAAGCGUGGGGAUCAAACAGGAUUAGAUACCCUGGUAGUCCACGCCGUAAACGAUGAGUGCUAAGUGUUAGGGGGUUUCCGCCCCUUAGUGCUGCAGCUAACGCAUUAAGCACUCCGCCUGGGGAGUACGACCGCAAGGUUGAAACUCAAAGGAAUUGACGGGGACCCGCACAAGCGGUGGAGCAUGUGGUUUAAUUCGAAGCAACGCGAAGAACCUUACCAAAUCUUGACAUCCUUUGACAACUCUAGAGAUAGAGCCUUCCCCUUCGGGGGACAAAGUGACAGGUGGUGCAUGGUUGUCGUCAGCUCGUGUCGUGAGAUGUUGGGUUAAGUCCCGCAACGAGCGCAACCCUUAAGCUUAGUUGCCAUCAUUAAGUUGGGCACUCUAAGUUGACUGCCGGUGACAAACCGGAGGAAGGUGGGGAUGACGUCAAAUCAUCAUGCCCCUUAUGAUUUGGGCUACACACGUGCUACAAUGGACAAUACAAAGGGCAGCGAAACCGCGAGGUCAAGCAAAUCCCAUAAAGUUGUUCUCAGUUCGGAUUGUAGUCUGCAACUCGACUACAUGAAGCUGGAAUCGCUA
rnacentral:rRNA from 1 species